CGUACAAUUGCCCUCAAAAAUAGGUCAUGACCGUGUGGAAGAAUGAGUACGAGCUCCAAACAAUGUAAUUGUUUUAAUCGCGACAUGAUUGGUUGAAAUCCCAAAACUUCCGGUUAUAUCUAGNGUGUCUCAAAAUUCAUGAUGGCGGCUAAGUUGGCUAAACGUGAAGAAGGAUUUUAUAAACGACUCCAUUCGUUUUCAACGGCGGACGAAUGGAGCGAAAAACAGUUAAAGGCUAGAAAAAAGCUUAAAACGCAGGGGGUUUANAAGGUGGAGGAAAUAUUGGCCGUCAGGCAGAAAAAGAACAUUUGAAAAACCAAACCCUGAACCUAAAACUGUGCUAGCCCAUGUCGAGUUGAUAAGAAAUGCAAUUGAUGGUGGCUUGACAGACUCUCUUCAGUCCGAUACCACCAUCAUUUUCAACCAUGCUGUUUUCAGGCACAUUUUUGGUGGAAGGGGGAAAGUCUGUUCAAAAGAGACAUAUGCACUAAGUGCUCAAGACUUUCCAAGGAGAUACUUUCCCCUAGGAUGGGAUAUGACUUAUAGAAGACGUGGGACAGUUCGAAAAAUUACUUAUCCUAUUCAACUUCAUCCUUUCCUUUCACGAUCACGCCAAAUGUACAACAAGGAUGGUUCAAAAAAAGAAAGAAGAUGGAUACAGAAGAUAACAAUAAGUUUUAGAAAACAUAACAUGUAGAUGUUAUAAACUCUGCAGGACAGAGUAAUAAAUAUGUAGUGUUUGUACUCAAUUUCAACAUAAUUUGUUUAUAAAAUGUUCAGUUACUGUUGGGAUUGUUUUGUUAAAAUUGUGUCAAUAAGAAUAUUUCUGCGUGUUCUCUUGUUCAGUCUCUCCCCAGUUAGCUGACACACUACAUCUCUAAGCUGUGAGUUUAGCAUUUUUUUAAAAGAAUCUUCAGUAUGUACUUCUGCAGUUGUGGAAAUGGUUGGAGNUAUAUUCUCUGUUUCAACUUCUGCCAGCACUGGUUGAGAAAUUCUUUUGUAUUUUCCUGCUACUAACAGUUUGCCACCUUGAUCCCAAANCNUNUUAUCGAGCUUNUGGUAAGGCCUCUUUUGUCUUGUGCUUGUUUGCAGACUUUCUUGUCUCUUAUCAAUAAGCAAAAGGGACUUGCAAGCAUCCCAUCUGUUGAUAGACCUAUGGAAUGCUUUCCUCAUUACAUCAUUUUUUUUCUCUACACCUUAAAUUUAUAAAGAGAUGAUAACUUGGGUUAAACUAGUGUGGGCUGCAUUGUUGUUUCUAUGGAAGCAGGAGUAAUAAAAUAAAAUGUGUACAUCUUUUGCACACAUUACUUUUUGUUAUUUCACACAAAUUUACAGUAUAUAAAAUGUAGAAAUCCAAUAUGAAUAAUUGUAAUUAAAUAAUUUUAAAUAAUUAAUUAUUCAUUUGUUUACCAUACCUUGCCCUGUAAAAAUUUUAAGNCUACAAUACUCCUCAAGUAGUUUNGGCAUGUGGUACACCAUGAUAUGUAUAUAAGGUGUGAUGGGGUUCAUCCAGUUAUAGCCUUCACUUUUCAUGCUAAGGAGAAGCUUGGCCCAUUCAUUUGCCUGACAAUGAAAAUUUUAUAUAAUAUACUGUAAGAUUGCUUGUAGCAAUACAUGUAGGUCUAAUAGAGAUACAACCAUUGAGAAAACUGAUAUACAGUGGUUGACAGUACUUUAAAGUAUUNUGGCCAUUUUAAAAAAUGAGAAUAAUAUAACUAAAUAUUCUUUUACCUUUGUGUGAAAGGUAUUGAUGUCUUCUGUAGUGGGAGAUAGGUUAGUCAUCACAUCAUAAAGUGCGGCAAAAUCCUGUAACAAAAUGUGGUAGAUUUAAGCUCAAAAUCAUUAAUAUGGCUAUUUAAUGUAUCCACAUACUUCACACUCAUGUUUUUUAAUAUACAUGCUUUACCUUAUUUUUUCUUAAAAGAAAGACCUAUUACAACUAAAUGAUAAGUACCUUCCAAAGCUUUGUGACUGAUGUUAAUAUUUUUGGGUGCACAAAUGAAGAAAACUUUGAGGGCAGAUUCCUCAACAAUUUCUUUUUGUCAUCACCCAUUAGCGAAGUCCAAUCCAGCUUAUUGUCUUUGUCAUACCAUAUCUAAAGUAAAGUAGCAAUACAUUUUA
rnacentral:misc_RNA from 1 species